GUGUCUGAGUAAGUAAGCCAGGAAGAGCAGAAGGCAUCUUUGACUAGGCUCUGCCCUCUGGUAAGUUAGGCAGUGUCUAUUUCUCACUACGACCCCAGCCCAUGGCGCAGGAAAGGCUCCACUGUGUUUGCACUAUACAACUGAAUGGCGGAGGAGCCAGUGUUUUACUCUUUGCCCACGGUCCAUAGAUAAGGACUCAUUAAAUCCGAAUAACCCAGGGACCAGGGAAGCAGGGUUCAGUACAGGCUGGAGUGCAAGGAAAACUAAGACAGAGAAGAAUCUCAAUAUUCACCAAUCCAGGCCGGACAUGCCCAGGCUCCAGCCUGCUUGCCAUGUGGCCUUCUGCAAGGCAGACCCAAGUUUAGCUUCCCUGUGGUAAAUGCGUUCUCUAACAGAAGCCAGAGGGGUGUGAUGAAGCCUCUGAAGUCCUCGGUACCACAGCAUGCAGCCCUGUAAGGUGGCUGCUAGGGUUUUACAGAUUGAGUUGGAGUGGGGGGCCGUGGCUAUGAAUUAAACAGCCUGAAGCAGAUACCCUGCCUGUGAGUCCUGCUGGCGACUCUGAGUGACCUCUGAUCAAAGUUAAGGUACAAACUCAGGAGGCCCUCUGUGACUGUGUUCUGAUGAAGACUGGUCCCUCUAGCUGGACAGUGGUGGCGCAUCCCUUUAAUCCCGGCACGCAGGAGGCAGAGGCAGGCAGAUCUCUGAGUUUGAGGCCAGCCUGGACUACAGAGCAAGUUUCAGGACAGCCAGAGCUACGCAGAGAAACCCUGAUUUUCACAGACAAACAAACCAGGCUUGGUGUAGAUCUCCAGUCCCAGCUACUCAGAAGCCUGGGGCAGAAGAACUGACAGCUCAAGGCUUUCUUGUUUUAUUCAGAUUGUUCAAAGCCAACUGGACAACUUGGUCAAUGAAACAAGAACAGCAAGAAAACUGGGGAGGUAGCUCAGGGGUAGAGCCCUUGCCUAGCCAGAGGCAAGUUCAGGCCCUGAUCUGGGCACAGCCUUCUAUGACCUCUGCUCUACUCUGACUACUAUAAGAUGAACGGAUUUUAGAUUCCACGUGAGAGUGAGUGACAGGAUGUGGAUUCUGUUUCUCUGCCUGGCUAAUUUCACUAAACAUAAAGCCCUCGAUUUCUCAUCGUGUUGCAGCUAAUGUCAGGCUUCCAUGUUUCUAUGACUGCAGAGCCUUCCUGUGUAUUUGAGUUCCACUCCUUUAUCCAUUCACCUGGCAGUGGGCCUCAUCAUGCCAGCACCACUAUGAAUAGUGUCAAGGCCAGUAUACUUUAAAAAAAAUAAAUGUCACUAGUUUCUAUAGGACCGUCUUUGUAGGUAUCAGGGACCAUUUAUCAUAAAUGGAGGUCUUUAUGACUUUUUUCUACUCUUUCUUGAGUAAAACUAUUUCUCCUCAAGAAACAAGCAACUGGGGAAGGGAAAUCUUUUAUUAAAUAUUUUGCUCUAUUUCA
rnacentral:lncRNA from 1 species